AACACAAAUUAUUCACUUGUUAGCAUGUUCUGUGGCAUGAACUUGCAUUUUAAGGCAUUUCUGGGACUUUUUAUUUUUUUGCAUUUUUCGUGAUAGUAAGUCUUGUAGACUUUAGUUUUGCUUGCAACCAGCUAGAGUGCCCCUUUUCCUUCAGCAGCAAAAGCAUUUUCUUGCAGCAAUCUUAUUUCUCGAUAGUAAAAGCAAUGAAGCUGCAGACAAAAGAUGUCAGUUCCCAAAACUAAAAUGUAUCCUUGGUAUUCUCACAGAUAGAUGCAAACAAUGUGUUGCUGCUUCAUUUGAUGUGAUUAGUAUUUGCAGCAUAAUUCAAUAUAGAAGUUGCUGGAAUUUUCCUUUCAUUGUACUGACAAUAGUGUGCACUGAUUGUGUGUAUCUACCAAUUAACAAACUAAUGAGCCCGCAUUGUCACCUGGUAGACGCCGUGCCGGACGCUUGUGAUUGGAUAACGAGGUGCAGUGGCGCGCUUUGAAAGCGGAAGGAAGCAGUAGUAGUCCUCGACCACAUAACGGUUGUAAGAUGGCGCUGGGUGAAGGCACAGAGUGCGAAGGAUCCCUUCAGGUGUAGCUGCAGACCCGUGUCGCCAUCAAUUGGGCCGGUGGACUCCACCACGCCCACGCCCACGCCCGGGAAGUCCGUUUCUUUUACGUGAACGCCAUCGUCCCGGCCAUUAUUUAGUUGCUGAAUGUGCGUCUUGUGUUUAGAUCAUGGCCGAAGUAAUGGCGCUGUAACAGCCGAGCGCAGUGUGGAGCCGAUUCAACGUCACUAUUCAAGGCCAAAAGAGGUUUAACCAAGUUCCACUCCUGAUGAUGGGGCCUUUGUUGAAUCAUGUGAGCACAUGUGGAUGACAGUGUUGUGAAAAGAACUGGCGCCCGGGAUCGAGUCGAUGCUGACGAUGGAUGUCAGGUGCAUUCCUGAUACCGGCAGCGGGAGGAGGACGACAUGAGGCGGUGGGAUCGAUCUUUCAGCAUCC